rnacentral:rRNA from 1 species
CUACGGGUCGCAGCAGUGAGGAAUAUUGCACAAUGGGGGGAACCCUGAUGCAGCAACGCCGCGUGGAGGAUGACGCAUUUCGGUGUGUAAACUCCUUUUAUAUGUCAAGAAGAUGACGGUAGCAUAUGAAUAAGCACCGGCUAACUCCGUGCCAGCAGCCUCGGUAAUACGGCGGGUGCAAGCGUUACUCGGAAUCACUGGGCGUAAAGGACGCGUAGGCGGGUUGGAAAGUCAGGUGUGAAAUCCUACAGCUUAACUGUAGAACUGCACUUGAAACUUCUAAUCUAGAGUAUGGGAGGGGGAGAUGGAAUUAGUUGUGUAGGGGUAAAAUCCGUAGAUAUCACUAGGAAUACCUAAAGCGAAGGCGAUCUCCUGGAACAUUACUGACGCUAAGGCGUGAAAGCGUGGGGAGCAAACAGGAUUAGAUACCCCGGUAGUC